rnacentral:rRNA from 1 species
CCCUUAGACGUUCUGGGCCGCACGCGCGCUACACUGACACAGGCAACGAGCUUUCCUUUACCGACAGGUAUGGGUAAUCUUUUGAAACUGUGUCGUGCUGGGGAUAGAUCCUUGCAAUUUUUGAUCUUAAACGAGGAAUUCCUAGUAAGCGCGAGUCAUCAACUCGCGUUGAUUACGUCCCUGCCCUUUGUACACACCGCCCGUCGCUACUACCGAUUGAAUGGCUUAGUGAGGCCUCAGGAUCCGCGCUUAAUGUGUGGAGAAUUUGGACAAACUACGUCAUUUAGAGGAAGUAAAAGUCGUAACA